UGACCUCGGAUCAGACGUGAUUACCCGCUGAAUUUAAGCAUAUUAUUAAGCGGAGGAAAAGAAACUAACAAGGAUUCCCCUAGUAACGGCGAGUGAACGGGAAGAGCCCAACACCGAAUCCCUUGGCGCAAGUCAACGGGAAAUGUGGUGUUAAGGUAGCCCUUCGUGUCAGUCUAGGCGUCUCAAGUCCACCUGAUUGUGGCUCAAGCCCAGAGAGGGUGUAAGGCCCGUAGAGACGCUCCGACUGAUUCCUGGGGUUUACCUACGAGUCGGCUUGUUUGG
rnacentral:ncRNA from 1 species